CAAAAUGGCGGAGGCUUCGAAAUCUACAAUGAGCGAACCAGCCAAAACAGAGGGAGAGAUGAGAAGAAGUAAACGUGUGAGACAGCCAUCUAAGAGAAUGUUGUUGUAUUUUCAGGACACAGAUUCAGAUUCAAGUCUACAGAAGGGUAAAGGAAAACGUCCUGCCAGAAAGUUGAUACAUUAGCAACAACAACUAAGGGGACAUUGGAACACCAUAGCACGUCUGACAAUGAACCUGUACUGGCUUUUGUUUCUUCAAGUUCUGAUGAGUCUGAAGGAGAAACACUCAGUGAGAGAGAGGAUGAUUUAAGAACCAAAUGAAAGGGAAGGAAAAGAGGAAGUAAGAAAGUGAAAGGGCGCUGUUAUGUCCAUGAAGAACAAGAAAAAAAAUCUAAGGAGAUGACUCUAUCGGUGCUGGAUAGGAUGACCCUCUACAGUCAGCAGCAGUAUCGACAAGAUGUGUUUUCCUUUUAUGCAGAGACACUAGAAGAUGUCUAUAAAUUGUUCAGACAUGCUGCAUACAGACAAUUUACCAUUUUAAUGCAUGGGAAACUGACUGCUAGAGACAGAAGAACUGUCCCAGCAUGUUGUGUUAAAUUAAUAAGGGAGAAGUUUCUUAGUCUUUCAGGCCAGUAUACAGGCUUCAUACCAGGUGAAGGCCCAGUGUUCUAACAAUUUUGCAUAUUUAUGCCCCCCUUCAAAGAAGAGGGGGUUUAUUGUUUUGCACGUCAGUCCGUCCACCAGAUGGUUUCCAGAUGAUAACUUAGGAACGUUAAGGCCUAGGAUCAUGAAACUUCAUAGGUACAUUGAUCAUGACUGGUGAUCAUGACUGGCAAAUGACCCCUAUUGAUUUUCAGGUCACUAGGUCAAUGGUCAGUGACUAGAAACAGUAAAACGGUUUCCGGAUGAUAACUCAAGAAUGCUUACGCCUAGGAUCUUGAAACUUCAUAGGUAAAUUGAUCAUAACUGGCAGAUGACCUCUUUAGAUUUUCAGGUCACUAGGUCAAGGUCACAGUGACUCGAAACAAUAAAAUGGUUUCCGGAUGAUGUCUAUAGAAUGCUUACGCCUAGGAUCAUGCAACUUCAUAGGUACAUUGAUAAUGACUGGCAGAUGACCCCUAUUGAUUUUCAGGUCACUAGGUCAAGCUCACAGUGACUCGAAAUAGUAAAAUGGUUUCCUGAUGAUAACUCAAGAAUAAUUAGGCCUAGGAUCAUGAAACUUCAUGGGUACAUUGAUCAUGACUGACAGAUGACCCCUAUUAAUUUUCAGGUCACUAUGUCAAAGGUCAAGGUCACAGUGACAAAAAACGUAUUCACACAAUGGCUGCAACUACAACUGACAGCCCAUAUGGGGGGCAUGCAUGUUUUACAAACAGCCUAGUUGCUAUUCUUUUUCAUUUAUCAGACAUAGAACUUUCUUAGUUUUGAUUAUUUUUUGUUCUGGCUCCUUUUUUGAAACAUUUAUAUUUAUGCAAAUCAUUAGAAUUAUGCUUAAUCAUUUGAAUUUUUCAGUUCUAUGCAUAUUGUUUUGAAAUACCAAUUUGUGUGAAAUGUGCUAGUUUAUUAUUAAAACUUGCACAGCAGUUUUUACAUUUGUAUGCUUACUUUGGUGUCAUUUGAAUGAAAUGCCAUGAGUACUCUGGAUUGUAAGAUGAAAGAAAUAAAAGAAGCAAUGACAUAUUUCUUAAAAAUACUAUGUAAAUAAACUAAUUGAAUAUCAAAAUUCAUUUCUUGUAUACGUAUUUUAUUUU